UGGGGAAUAUUGGACAAUGGGGGGAACCCUGAUCCAGCCAUGCCGCGUGUGUGAAGAAGGCCUUAUGGUUGUAAAGCACUUUAAGCGAGGAGGAGGGUACUGGUAUUAAUACUACCAGCUACUGGACGUUACUCGCAGAAUAAGCACCGGCUAACUCUGUGCCAGCAGCCGCGGUAAUACAGAGGGUGCGAGCGUUAAUCGGAUUUACUGGGCGUAAAGCGUGCGUAGGCGGCUAAUUGAGUCGGAUGUGAAAUCCCCGAGCUUAACUUGGGAAUUGCAUUCGAUACUGGUUAGCUAGAGUGUGGGAGAGGAUGGUAGAAUUCCAGGUGUAGCGGUGAAAUGCGUAGAGAUCUGGAGGAAUACCGAUGGUGAAGGCAGCCAUCUGGCCUAACACUGACGCUGAGGUACGAAAGCAUGGGGAGCAAACAGG
rnacentral:rRNA from 1 species